GGGAUCAGAAAGAAACAUAAUUGAGUUCCUGCCAAAUUGAAUAUUCAGAAAGGGCACUGAUAGGGGGAUCAAUUCCUUAUUUCUACCAUGAGACAGGCAAGAUAAAGAAGAGUUGAUAAUUUCUGCACCCAUCUUACUUCCUGCCCACCACAGAGCAGUUCACCCAGUGGCCUGGUUGGAUGUUAGCCAUUGGCAGGGCAAGAAAUCCAACAAUCGACUGUUGAAGAAUUCCAGAGAAUCAGUCUGGAUCUCUUUCACACAGACAAAGUCUUGUUCCAGCUAAUCUUAGGCUCCUAUGCGAGAGGAAAGAUGCUGGGAGGCCAGCACGGUGGCUCACACCCAUAAUCCCAGCACUUUGGGGGGCCAAGGUGGGCAGAUCCCUCGAGCCCAGGAAUUCAAAACCAGCCCGGGCAACAUAGUAAUAACCCCCAUCUCUACAAAAAAUUAAGAAAAAUAAUUAGCCAGAUGUGUUGGUGCAUGCCUUAGUCCUAACUACUCCGCAAGCUGAGCUGAGAGGAUCACUUGAGCCCAGGAGGUCAAGGUUGCAAAGAGCCAUGAUCCUGUGCCUAGGCAACAGAACGAAAAAGAUGUGAGAAAUACUCAAAGUCUUGGUCUUUACCCAGAAGAAUCAGAGCAAGGAAAAGAAAGAUCUCUUUCCCCAGUUUGACAUCCAUCUUCCUAAAUUUGGACAAAGGGAUCCUAAACCACAGCGUCCUACAGUGAGUCAAAAUGCCCAUGCACUGAUUCUCAUCUCACUGGAGUUACAGACACGGCUCACAGGCUUAAGCGUCUUGCUGUAGGUCAUACGGCAGGUUAAUGACAACACUGGGGCAAGAACACAGGUUACGCUCGUCCUGGGGAAGGCUCCCACACCAAGCUACACACUUCUGCAAUGCUGUUCCAGAUGUGAAAAUCCGCUAAGACAAAUAGGUCACAAAAACACCAUGGGAAACGAUGAUGUCUUUUCCUUUUUGUUAUCUUGAUAAAGCUUCAUACAUGUUGAGGAACUAAUAAAUCAACAGAUGUCUUACUCCACAACGAGGUGCAAGAUCUUGAGGCUGGAUUUAGAAAGAGGAAGAGAAGACCAAUUGCACAGCUCAUCACCCCUCACCCAUCUGAUGAUAUGAAAGGUUUGAAGGAAGCCAGAGCUGGAGCAAGAUUUUCCUCAGAUGAGUUUUGAUGAACUACAAAGAAUGAAGAUGCUCUCCCUUGUCAUCCCCAGUCAAAGAAAAGGCACUUUAAAGAAAUCACUCACGAGCCA
ensembl:lncRNA novel transcript